CUGCCACUAGGGAGGGAUCUUUUUCUCGUGAUUCCUUCCUUUGAAGUUUUCUACUGUAAGCUUAGGACACAAGAAAUCUCUUUGAUUCCACCUGUCAUUUCUGUUGUGACUGCCAUAUUCAGAAGCGUUAUAUGAGAGUAGCUCCAACACACUUCUGGUGCUAAGAAUGGUAGUUGACUUAAUGGGAGCCCUUUUUUUUUGCUUUAAGGAUUGUCUCCUUACUUCCUAUAAUGAAUGCUCCAGCAUGGGGUUUCUUCUAAAUUAGAAUGGUGGCUGCUGUGAGGCUUGCUUGGAGAGCAGAACAGCAGUGUCUCUGGAGUGUGCCUCUGUGGAAAGGACUGGGAAUUAUAGAGAGUCAGGAGUGAAGUGCUACAGCUGCAUAGACCUGUGCUUUCUUCCUUACUUGCAGAGCUCUCUUGAGAAGUAGAGCUCAUGGGAGAUUAGUAAGCUACUCUGUACCUGCACUGUAAAUAACCAGUUUCUUCUACUGGAGGGACUGCACUAGUUUAUUUAAUUCAUAUAAAAAUGGGGAUUGUGUAGUUUAUUAAACAACAACGGUAUAAUAGUACAAUAAGUAAUAGUAGUUUUACCACAAAAUUAACCUUCUGUAAACGCUCUGAAUCAGUGUCAUUGAGGUAGCUAUGGGGAGUUCAUUGUUAACAUUAUCUAAUUACAAAGAAUGCAGAAGUACUCAAAUAGUAGAGACCAAAGUACUCUGCAGUUUCUUUAAUAAAAGAGAAGUAAUGGUCUGUUUACAGGGGAAACUCUUGGUGCUGUACCUAUCCCUGCAUAGAUUUACUGUGAUGUUUUCCAGUCGUUGAGUUGAAGAUUUUGGAACACAGAGAGAGUGUUUAUGUCCAUGUUUUGCUGUUGAAUAAAAGUGGC
ensembl:lncRNA